GAUGAACGCUGGCGGCGUGCCUAAUACAUGCAAGUCGAGCGAACGGACGAGAAGCUUGCUUCUCUGAUGUUAGCGGCGGACGGGUGAGUAACACGUGGAUAACCUACCUAUAAGACUGGGAUAACUUCGGGAAACCGUAGCUAAUACCGGAUAAUAUUUUGAACCGCAUGGUUCAAAAGUGAAAGACGGUCUUGCUGUCACUUAUAGAUGGAUCCGCGCUGCAUUAGCUAGUUGGUAAGGUAACGGCUUACCAAGGCAACGAUGCAUAGCCGACCUGAGAGGGUGAUCGGCCACCCUGGAACUGAGACGCGGUCCAUGCUCCUACGGGAGGCAGCAGUAGGGUAUCUUCCGCAGUGGGCGAAAGCCUGGCGGAGCAAGGCCGCGUGAGUUAUGACGGUCUUCCGUUCGUAAAACUCUGUUAUUAGGGAAGAACAUAUGUGUAAGUAACUGUGCACAUCUUGACGGUACCUAAUCAGAAAGCCACGGCUAACUACGUG
rnacentral:rRNA from 1 species